AACGCGCGAUCGCCUUGAGUUUGAUCUGGCUCAGAGCGAACGCUGGCGGCAGGCUUACACAUGCAAGUCGAGCGCCGUAGCAAUACGGAGCGGCAGACGGGUGAGUAACACGUGGGAACGUACCUUUUGGUUCGGAACAACACAGGGAAACUUGUGCUAAUACCGGAUAAGCCCUUACGGGGAAAGAUUUAUCGCCGAAAGAUCGGCCCGCGUCUGAUUAGCUAGUUGGUGAGGUAACGGCUCACCAAGGCGACGAUCAGUAGCUGGUCUGAGAGGAUGAUCAGCCACACUGGGACUGAGACACGGCCCAGACUCCUACGGGAGGCAGCAGUGGGGAAUAAUGGACAAUGGGCGCAAGCUUGAUCCAGCCAUGCCGCGUGAGUGAUGAAGGCCCUAGGGUUGUAAGCUCUUUUUGUCGGGAAGAAAUGACUGUACGCCAAAAUAAACCGCGGCUAAUUUCUGCCAAAACCGGGGUAACCAAAGGGGCCUAGGUUCCCCGGAUUCUGGGGGUAAAGCCCCCUGGGGGACCUUUAAUCGGGGGGGAAACCGGGCCCAACCCCAAACCCCUUUAAUGGGGGUUCCAUUUUGGGGAAGGGGGGGAACCCCGCGGGAGGGAAAUUUUAAAUUUUCAAAACCCUGGGGAGGGGCCUCCCCCCCUUUUCCUUGGGGAAAGGGGGGAAAAAAAAUAAAUUGUUGCCCCCAAAAA
rnacentral:rRNA from 1 species